rnacentral:rRNA from 1 species
AGCGAACGCUGGCGGCAGGCCUAAUACAUGCAAGUCGAGCGGGUCCUUCGGGAUUAGCGGCGGACGGGUGGAGUAACGCGUGGGAACGUGCCCUUUGGUACGGGAACAACUGAGGGAAACUUCAGCUAAUACCGUAUGUGCCCUUCGGGGAAGGAUUAUCGCCAUUGGAGCGGCCCGCGUUGGAUUAGGUAGUUGGUGAGGUAAAGGCUCACCAAGCCUACGAUCCAUAGCUGGUCUGAGAGGAUGACCAGCCACACUGGGACUGAGACACGGCCCAGACUCCUACGGGAGGGCAGCAGUAGGGAAGUCUUGCGCAAUGGGCGAAAG